rnacentral:misc_RNA from 1 species
AACGCACAUUGCGCCCCUUGGUAUUCCAUGGGGCAUGCCUGUUCGAGCGUCAUUUACCCCCUCAAGCUUUGCUUGGUGUUGGGCGUCUGUCUACGGACUCGCCCCAAAGGUAUUGGCAGCGGUCCUGCCGGGACUUUCCUAAUUGCGCAGCACUGUUCGCGCUUCUUGGAGCCCUGUGCGGAUUUUUUGCAUCCAUCAAGCCCAACUUUUUUUUAACUUGACCUCGAAUCAGGUAGGGAUACCCGCUGAACUUAA